UACGAAGGGUGCAAGCGUUAUUCGGAAUCACUGGGCGUAAAGAGCUCGUAGGUGGUUUGUCGCGUUGUUCGUGAAAUCUCACGGCUUAACUGUGAGCGUGCGGGCGAUACGGGCAGACUAGAGUACUGCAGGGGAGACUGGAAUUCCUGGUGUAGCGGUGGAAUGCGCAGAUAUCAGGAGGAACACCGGUGGCGAAGGCGGGUCUCUGGGCAGUAACUGACGCUGAGGAGCGAAAGCGUGGGGAGCUAACAGG
rnacentral:rRNA from 1 species